rnacentral:misc_RNA from 1 species
UCCGGCUUAUCACCGGCAGUUUCUUUAGAGUGCUCAACUAAAUGGUAGCAACUAAAGACGAGGGUUGCGCUCGUUAAUGGACUUAACCAAACAUCUCACGACACGAGCUGACGACGGCCAUGCAUCAUCUGUCACCGAGUUCAAUAAAGCACUCUCGUCUUUCGACAAAAUUCUUGGGAUGUCAAACCCUGGUAAGGUUUUUCGUUUAUCAUCGAAUUAAAGAACACGCUCCACCGCUUGUGCGGGUCCCCGUCAAUUCCUUUAUGUUUUAGUCUUGCGACCGUACUCCACAGGUGGGAUGCUUAACGCGUUAGCUUCGCUACGGAAGGGGUCGAUACCCCCCACAGCUAGCAUCCAUCGUUUACGGCGUGGACUAC